GACCGCUCGGUGGCCUACUGGUUAGAGUGUAGGCUUCGGGUGCGGGAGGUCGCGGUUUCGAACCCCGGCCGAGUCA